GACAUUCGGAGCAAGCGCCCUCCUCCUCCCAGCGCCGCUCCGAUCGAGACGGGCAAGUCUUCUCCUCCCAAGUUGCCCGUCGUUUCAAAUGACGCCCGCUGGAUCUCCUCCCCCAGCGGGCGUUAUUU
rnacentral:sRNA from 1 species